AGUUGUGUGAUUAUUACUUAAGAAAAAAGUGUUGAAUAGUAGUUUGGUGCAUUUUAACGGUGUUUGGUGUGGCUGUAGUUGUUUUUGGUGGAGCAGGCGAUAUUAAGGUACAAUUCAUAUCGGGUGAUAAUUGUACAGGGUGCAUCGGGCUAUGUCGAACAGGUAUAGGUGUGUUUGUGUUGGUAAGAUCAGGACGAUGGUGAGACGGCCUUUGCGGGAGUGAGAUAAACUCACGCACACCGAGCCCGACCGGCCAAGAUCCUGCGCAAACUAAAAGCGAUGACGUCCGUGGUGUCCAACUGUGAUUUUACCAUCGACACUACCUGGUCAACAGUGACGGUUUUGGCUAACCUAGAUAGAUGUAGCCACAUAUAGUUUGUUCUUGGUAGUUGUGACACGGUUGGGAUCGACGUGGUGGUGGUAUCGGUUCCUGUUAUUAUUGGUGGUAGUGAAGGGCGAUUUCUUUGGUGAGUAUUGUCGGUGUCUGUAUUUACAGGGUAUAGUGGAGCAUUGUCAACAACAAUGGCUUCCGUGGAUGCAACAACGUCACGGAACAACCUUCUACGCUUUCCACUCGGGAGGGCAUCUGGGGGCGGUAAGUUGAAGUGUUCGCUAGGAGCUUGGUGAGCCGCGGCAAAACUGGCAAAGCCCUCACGGAUUUCGUGCAUCACAGGCGGGACUAAAGCAGCUUUCAUCACCUCGACAGCGGCAGUAAGAGCCGCCUGGAAGCCGACCUGCAUACCCGUUGUUUUGACUGCUUUACUAUGUGGGUUGCCAAGAGCAUUCGAACACCCUACACAGCUCCAAUGAAGAGAUGCCGUCCGUUUUACCUCUUCGAUCACAGUGAAAGUUGCCGUUGCAGAUAGAUGCCACAGGACUCAGGAACAAACGCAGGAAAUACAGCAAAGUCAGGAAUGGUUGUGACGAACGAUUGAAGGCAGGACUACCAGGGACAGCUUAAGUCACAGCUAAGCGGCAGUUUGACGAAAAUGAGGCCGAAACGACAAAAUAAUUCACGGAUUUACGCGGAGCACAGUGAGAAAACACACUCUGUCGUCAGCUGUCAACUGUCAACUUCAAUUACAAUUUUGAAUAUGACCCACGGUUUUUAGAACACCAAACCGAAACACCGGUUUAAUAAUGUUCCGAGGUGUAAUGAAGAUCGAAAUGAAAUUUCAGGAACCCAAUCUGGGCCGGGAUAGAAGCAACGCAAUAGUUAGGGUAGAAUCGAAAUACCUGGUAUACGUCUAUCCAAACGCCUUUCAGUUUUGCUUUGAACCAUUACCCCAACCAUUUCAAAAAUACCCAGACUCGACAUUACUCUCGGCAAUCAUUUGUUUGAUUUCUUAACGGUGGAUGGGUUUGCAGCUAACGAGCAGAACACGAACGAUAUUUGCGGCAGCACUCGAUCUGUGUAUGCCUGUACACACACAAACACGCUCUGAGGUGGUGUAUAUGCAGAGUCCUUAAAUCAGCUGAAAAUACAAUUCAAAGUACACCGUUGCAGUCGGGUUGAUGAAUGAAAUAUGACGGUGGCAGCAAAGAUGAGGGAAUGUAGCAAACUAAUUAUGAUGUAAGGUUGCAGGAAAGCUUUCAUCAGUGCUGGAACACGACUCUGACGAGGAAAGUUAUUACAUUCAGUUUAAUUAAAAUAUGCGUCCAUCUUUCGCAUGAGCGGAUAUGUUUGCUAUACGUACCGUGAGUCUCAUUCCAUUGGAAGCAAGCACCAACGCGUUCAGUUUCCAGCAAUUCAAAAGCUGAUGACGCUAUUCCUUGAACUAAGCGGCUAUGUAUGCACAAAACUAAAAUUACAGCCACGAGUACCAUCAUCGAACAUCAGCGUUUUAACGAUGUAAUCCUUUUUAUUUAUGCUGAUAGUUAAUUCUUUAGUGGCCAUUUUUCCCAAGCUUUACUUUCUGACGUGAGCAUCUUCACAGAAUUGAAGUAUGCAAAUAAGAAAAUUGGAUAUUUACAGAGGGGAGCUUAAGAAAAUGCUCUACAGCUGCACUACUGCAACUUUUCGAGCAUCUUUCACUCUGAGAUGUUGCUACAGCCAAUUUGGGCAAAGAUUGUGAGUUUGUUUGCUCUACUUUCAACUCGAAUGCUUGGAACAAUCUGAAACAUGCCAUUACAAUACUGCUACAUAAUUAAUACACCCUGUGUAUUAAUGUACUAUGUACAGAGUGUGUGCAUCCUUGCAAACCAAACAUGCUUUGUACGUUCUUUCUCCUCUGCUCAAUAUUGUUUACAUUUUCUCCCUUUGCUUUGCAAAGCGCGGCAGAACGGACGGUGCAUUAACGACCAGAGCCGCGUGUAUACGCGCAUAGCAUCUUCGAGUCUGCCUUUUGCGUUCGGCAACGAAAACUUCUGGCAUCUAGGAAGCUUGUAGUGUGUUAAAAUUAUCCACAUGUCAGGUUUAGUUUUGCUGAUGCUUUGCACAUACACAUGUCCGCUUCUCCAGGUACUGACUUGUCUUGUUGGAAGUUGAUUGGAUGGGUUUAGCGUGAACACGUCGGUUUCUGUACUGCGCCUCAAAGACAUGGGUGUUUUGAGGAAAACUGAUCGUACAGUGCGUGUGCGUGUGUGUGAAUGUAGAUAUUUGUGUAUGUGUUGGUAUGGGAAACUAAACGAAACUUGCAGGAGUAAUUUUAUUCAGAUCCCCUCCUAAGAGUGCACUUGGUUUGUGAGGAUGUGUAGCUGACUACCACUUGAGAUGGGUAUAGAGAUGAUAUUAAUUUGUCACGCGAAAAUGAAAGAAGCCUUGUUGUUAACCUUUAAGCCGUGUUGUUUUAUGUUUUUUUAACUCGGGUUUUAUAAAUGCAUGUUUUAGAUCAAUUUUUUUUUGUUUUAUUUCUAGCAUUUAUUUAUCUUUUUUUAGUAUUAAAAACAACACUUACAAAAUAAUACCCAAAAUAACGUUAUUUUAACUGCCAUAUUGAAAUCCAAGAAUUUAAUCUGCAUUCUCUAAGGCGAAAUUUUUAUAUUAUUAGUUUUAUAAAUUUUCUCAAGACACAACAAAUAUUACUAUUUUUUGUGUAUAUCUCCUACUAGAAAAUCUUUUCAAAUUAUUCGAACAUCUAAAAGAUUUUUUAAGGACGACUGUUUAUUAUUUUAUUAGUUAAUAAGCUGGCUAGAAACAAGAAAUCGAAAUUUUGUUUGCAAUUAUUAAAUUGAUAUUUUUGCCUACGAUGCUCUGGUGCUUGAAUUUUAUGCCAUCCUUCGUGUUUAUGGUUAAUUAAAUAAAAUGCCACAAAAAAGAAUCAGGACGAGCACCAAUUCAUAUUAUAGGAACAAUAAUUGAAUCUCGAAAUGAGGGGUUUGGUAUUGAAGCACCUGAGUUAGUGAGUGAAA